GGUAUGAACAUGUGCUUCCAUGGUAAGACACCUUUUCCAGGAAUAGCACAAUCAUUAGAGUCACAGGAGAGCAGGAGGGAGGUGACAUUGAGUGGAUGCCGUCUUGCUGCAAGAGGGAAUUCAGUCUCCUUGCAAAGGAGCAAUUAUUUUAAGGAACCAUUCCAUGUGCUAAUUCAAUAUCCUUCUAAAGGUGGGAGGAAGGCUGACUCAGAGGUUAAAGUGACACACGUGAGCUUCAGAGAAGGGGAUUUUCCUGCACCACAACAUUCUCUGUCCUUGGUAUUACCUCCUGAAACCUGUCAUGGACCAUCACCUCCAACUGCCACAGAGCACUGACCACACAGGAUUUUCCAACAACCUCCUGCCAUCCCAAGCCCUGCUGUAGGGAUGAAGCCUCAGCUGUUGUUGCAGCUGAUUAACUCUUGCUCCAGCCUGAGUGCUAUUUUUGUAAGGCCUUGAUAAUCUCGAAAUCACAGCCCUCAUUGUGCUCUUAGAAAUGGAAGUGCAUUACCUGCAAUUUCCCAAGCAUUUCAUUUCCUUGGAAGAUUUAUUUGUAAACAAACAAGAGCUUUAUUGUUGCUUGUUGCAGAUACACAGUAAAUUAGUUUUUCCAUGCUGAAAUGCAGCAGCAUAAAAUUCUCACUCGAGGAAAGUACUAACUGGCAUUAUGGCAUUGCCUUGUUAAUUAUGUUGGCACAUCCACUGCUGCUCCUUAAAUUAUUCCUGUACACCAGAAACGCUUCUUACCUAAUGAUUUCCUGAACUUCUGGUAUAUUAGUUCAUGCCUAAUCUAAUUUAAAUCAUUGUCAAAGUGACAAAUGCAAGGAAGACACAGAGAGGGUUUAAAGCAAAGUCGGUGAAUGGUCACAGAAACGAUCAUGGUAAAGAUUCAUUUUAAUAUGCUGAGUUUGGCUUUGGUGUGUUUGACAGGAUUCUGAUUCUUUCUUCUCAGUCUGACCUGUCAUUUUUAAGCAGAUUAAAUUUUCCACAAGAUUGA